CAAUAUUCCAAGUACGUCUGGUAAUAUUUUGGCUGAUAGCAUCUGGUCGAUAAUUAUUUCCUCGCAGUAAAUAUCUUCACAUAACUGUGUCUCUCACCGGACCCUCGCUUCCUUCUAACUUUAUAGCUUGAGAUCCUUUACGUCUUACCCGUGGCUGCUAUUAUCCAUUAAAGGACAUUGCACGCACCAUAACAACUUCAUUAAAUUUCCUGGGCAUCACCUCAAAAC